GUGGUGAUAAGUGGCUGGAAGUUACUGGCAUGUGGUGAAGGUCACAAUGUCAUUAUUGUAAUUAUUCCCAAGGGACUGUGUUUCAGAUGACUUGCCUUUAUACCAACUGGUCUCGAUAUAGAACUCAGAUCACACAGUCAUUCCCCAAGGUCCUUGGAGGCAUCAGGUGAUGCCUGGGGAACCGGCCGCAGUGCCUCUCACCGAGAGAUGUGACCCAGCCCCAGCCCCCGAGUCCUCGUGCAGGAAAGCAGAGUCCUCUGUCCUCUGGUCACACCGAUGCCAUCUGCAGUCCAGACCAUAAGCCAGAGAGCUGCGGGAGUACAGCAGGUUUCCCAAGCGGCAGUGACUCCAGGGCCAGCUUGGCAAUUACGGGGCGGGGCUGCUGCACUGGGCCUCUGGUUGUGGCGAGCGGUGGCUGCUCUCGCUGCAGAGCGUGGGCUCAGCAGUUGGGGUGCACAGGUUAGUUGUCUGGUGGCGUGUGGGAUCUUCCCACACCAGGGAUCACCCUCACCCCCCUGCGUUGGCAGGUGGGUUCUCAAUCACAACCACCGGGGGAGUCCCCAGCCUGGCAAGUUUUGUCUUUGCUCUGUACCUCCUGUUCUUUUAUUUUCUCAUCUUGUCCUGCAAAGUGACUCUCUUUCCUCACUGAAUUUUAAAUGAAAAGGAACAUAAUUUCUCCAUCACAAAAGGAAAGCAGUCCAUGGCAGACAUGGCGGGGGUCCUCAGUAUCUGUUCAUACCUUCUCACUUUACACCGCAGCCCUAACUUUUCACUGCGCAGAUCCAGACUAUAUUUCCCAAUCUGAAUUGUAGCAAGGUAUGGCCAUUCAGCCGAAGUUCUACAGAUGGGCAGAAGUGGUGGUUGGAACUUCUUAGAAGUACUUUUUUUUAAAGGGGGAUGUGCACUUCAGCAUCCCCUUCUUCCUUCUUUCUAGCUGGAAUGCAGACGUGAUAGAUGGAGCAUGGGCAGCUGUAUUGGACCAUGAGGGAGUACAACAGCAAGAUAGGAAAAAGGCUGGUUCCUGAUGGUCAUGGAACUUCCCUACCAGCCUUGGAAAGGUCACCUCAGGACUGUAUUUGUAUGAGAGAAAUGCAUGGAAACCUCUGUGACUUGAGGAUUUCAGAUGUUGCCAUAAACCUAAUACUGGCUGAAACACAUUACUUGGAGGAAGCAGAAGGUGACUAUAACAGUAAGCGCAGUGGAAAAUAAUAUUCUAAAACUGUUGAUAGAUUCAGCCACCCUUCAAGUCUAUGAACCCAGGAGCUGCUCUUGUUUUAAAAAAAAGAAUAAAAAAAAGGAAUUAGUCA
ensembl:lncRNA